UAUAUUGAAUGGCAUCAUUCGAUAUUGAAAACUCCGGUGGAUAGAGAUGGGCACGCGCAAGAUUAGAUAGUUGGUGAGGUAACGGCUCACCAAGUCURCGAUCUUUAGGGGGCCUGAGAGGGUGAUCCCCCACACUGGUACUGAGACACGGACCAGACUCCUACGGGAGGCAGCAGUGAGGAAUAUUGGACAAUGGGUGAGAGCCUGAUCCAGCCAUCCCGCGUGAAGGACGACGGCCCUAUGGGUUGUAAACUUCUUUUGUAUAGGGAUAAACCUAGAUACGUGUAUCUAGCUGAAGGUACUAUACGAAUAAGCACCGGCUAACUCCGUGCCAGCAGCCGCGGUAAUACGGAGGGUGCAAGCGUUAUCCGGAUUUAUUGGGUUUAAAGGGUCCGUAGGCGGAUCUGUAAGUCAGUGGUGAAAUCUCACAGCUUAACUGUGAAACUGCCAUUGAUACUGCAGGUCUUGAGUGUUGUUGAAGUAGCUGGAAUAAGUAGUGUAGCGGUGAAAUGCAUAGAUAUUACUUAGAACACCAAUUGCGAAGGCAGGUUACUAANGCAACAACUGACGCUGAUGGACGAAAGCGUGGGGAGCGAACAGGAUUAGAUACCCUGGUAGUCCACGCCGUAAACGAUGCUAACUCGUUUUUGGGAUUUAGGUUUCAGAGACUAAGCGAAAGUGAUAAGUUAGCCACCUGGGGAGUACGUUCGCAAGAAUGAAACUCAAAGGAAUUGACGGGGGCCCGCACAAGCGGUGGAUUAUGUGGUUUAAUUCGAUGAUACGCGAGGAACCUUACCAAGGCUUAAAUGGGAAAUGACAGGUUUAGAAAUAGACUUUUCUUCGGACAUUUUUCAAGGUGCUGCAUGGUUGUCGUCAGCUCGUGCCGUGAGGUGUUAGGUUAAGUCCUGCAACGAGCGCAACCCCUGUCACUAGUUGCCAUCAUUAAGUUGGGGACUCUAGUGAGACUGCCUACGCAAGUAGAGAGGAAGGUGGGGAUGACGUCAAAUCAUCACGGCCCUUACGCCUUGGGCCACACACGUAAUACAAUGGCCAGUACAGAGGGCAGCUACACAGCGAUGUGAUGCAAAUCUCGAAAGCUGGUCUCAGUUCGGAUUGGAGUCUGCAA
rnacentral:rRNA from 1 species